rnacentral:rRNA from 1 species
AGUGAACGCUGGCGGUAGGCCUAACACAUGCAAGUCGAACGGCAGCACAGUAAGAGCUUGCUCUUACGGGUGGCGAGUGGCGGACGGGUGAGGAAUACAUCGGAAUCUACUUUUUCGUGGGGGAUAACGUAGGGAAACUUACGCUAAUACCGCAUACGACCUACGGGUGAAAGCAGGGGAUCUUCGGACCUUGCGCGAUUGAAUGAGCCGAUGUCGGAUUAGCUAGUUGGCGGGGUAAAGGCCCACCAAGGCGACGAUCCGUAGCUGGUCUGAGAGGAUGAUCAGCCACAUUGGAACUUAGCCACGGUCCAGACUCCUACGGGAGGCAGCAGUGGGGAAUAUUGGACAAUGGGCGCAAGCAUGAUCCAGCCAUACCGCGUGGGUGAAGAAGGCCUUCGGGUUGUAAAGACCUUUUGUUGGGAAAGAAAAGCAGCAGGUUAAUACCCCGCUGUUCUGACGGUACCCAAAGAAUAAGCACCGGCUAACUUCGUG